rnacentral:rRNA from 1 species
GUGGUCCCACCUGACCCCAUGCCGAACUCAGAAGUGAAACGCCGUAGCGCCGAUGGUAGUGUGGGGUCUCCCCAUGCGAGAGUAGGGAACUGCCAG